rnacentral:rRNA from 1 species
UACGUAGGGUGCAAGCGUUGUCCGGAAUUAUUGGGCGUAAAGAGCUCGUAGGCGGUCUGUCGCGUCUGCUGUGAAAAUCCAGGGCUCAACCCUGGACCUGCAGUGGGUACGGGCAGACUAGAGUGCGGUAGGGGAGAUUGGAAUUCCUGGUGUAGCGGUGGAAUGCGCAGAUAUCAGGAGGAACACCAAUGGCGAAGGCAGAUCUCUGGGCCGUAACUGACGCUGAGGAGCGAAAGCAUGGGGAGCGAACAGG